rnacentral:rRNA from 1 species
GUCGAACGGGACUUUUUCUGGUAGCAAUACCGGGAAAAGUCUAGUGGCGAACGGGUGCGUAACACGUGGACAAUCUGCCUUAAAGUGGGGGAUAGCUCGGCGAAAGCCGAAUUAAUACCGCAUGUGAUGAGGGAAGACAUCUUCCCGAAAUCAAAGCCGGGGCAACCUGGCGCUUUUUGAGGAGUCCGCGGCCUAUCAGCUUGUUGGUGAGGUAACGGCUCACCAAGGCUAUGACGGGUAGCUGGUCUGAGAGGACGACCAGUCACACUGGAACUGAGACACGGUCCAGACACCUACGGGUGGCAGCAGUCGAGAAUUUUUCUCAAUGGGGGAAACCCUGAAGGAGCGACGCCGCGUGGAGGAUGAAGGUCUUCGGGUUGUAAACUCCUGUCAUUUGAGAACAAGGUGCACACGUUAACUGCGUGUGCAUUGAUAGUAUCAGAAGAGGAAGGGACGGCUAACUCUGUGCCAGCAGCCGCGGUAAUACAGAGGUCCCAAGCGUUGUUCGGAUUCAUUGGGCGUAAAGGGUGUGUAGGUGGCGCCGUAAGUCGGGUGUGAAAUCUCGGGGCUUAACUCCGAAACUGCAUUCGAUACUGCGGUGCUUGAGGACUGGAGAGGAGACUGGAAUUCAUGGUGUAGCAGUGAAAUGCGUAGAGAUCAUGAGGAAGACCAGUGGCGAAGGCGGGUCUCUGGACAGUUCCUGACACUGAGACACGAAGGCCAGGGGAGCAAACGGGAUUAGAUACCCCGGUAGUCCUGGCAGUAAACGGUGCACGUUUGGUGUGGGAGGAUUCGACCCCUUCUGCGCCGGAGCUAACGCGUUAAACGUGCCGCCUGGGGAGUACGGUCGCAAGAUUAAAACUCAAAGAAAUUGACGGGGGCCCGCACAAGCGGUGGAGUAUGUGGCUUAUUUCGAUGCAACGCGAAGAACCUUUACUGGCUUGACAUGCAUCUCUAAGGCGGUGAAAGCGUGAGUC